UCGGCCAGGCGACGACCGGCGCACGGGUGAGUAUCGCGUUUGUAACCUACCUUUAAGUGGAAGAUAGCGCGAGGGAAAUUCGGAUUAAUAUUCCAUAAUACUAUAGUUUGGCAUCAUUUUAUAGUUCAAGCUCCGGCGGUUAAAGAUGGGCAUGCGUAACAUUAGCUAGUUGGUGAGGUAACUGCUCACCAAUGCUACGAUGUUUAGGGGGUCUGAGAGGAUGGUCCCCCACACUGGUACUGAGACACGGACGAGACUCGGGGGGGACGCAGCAAUGAGGAAUAUAGGUCAAUGGGCUAAAGCCUGAACCAGCCAUGCCGCGUGAAGGAUGACUGCCCUAUGGGUUGUAAACUUCUUUUAUACGGGAAGAAACCGUCCUACGUGUACGGCGUUGACGGUACCGUACGAAUAAGCAUCGGCUAACUCCGUGCCAGCAGACGAGGUAAUACGGAGGAUGCAAGCGUAAUCCGGAUUUAUAGAGGUUAAAGGGUGCGUAGGCAGAAAUUGAAGUCAGUGAUGAAAUGCUGCGGCUCAAGCGUAGAACUGUUAUAGAUACUGAAUAACUUGAAUACAGUAGAGGUAGGCGGAAUGAGUAAUGUAGCGGUGAAAUGCUUAGAUAUAAGUCAGAAAACCGAU
rnacentral:rRNA from 1 species